rnacentral:rRNA from 1 species
GACGAACGCUGGCGGCGUGCUUAACACAUGCAAGUCGAACGGUGAAGCGCCUUCCUUUUUGGUGGGUGUGGAUGAGUGGCGAACGGGUGAGUAACACGUGAGUAACCUGCCCCCUUCUUCUGGAUAACCGCAUGAAAGUGUGGCUAAUACGGGAUAUUCUGGGUCUGUCGCAUGAUGGGUCUGGGAAAGAUAUUGUUUCGGUGGGGGAUGGGCUCGCGGCCUAUCAGCUUGUUGGUGGGGUGAUGGCCUACCAAGGCGGUGACGGGUAGCCGGCCUGAGAGGGUGGACGGUCACACUGGGACUGCGACACGGCCGAGACUCCUACGGGAGGCAGCAGUGGGGAAUAUUGCACAAUGGGAGCAAGCCUGAUGCAGCGACGCCGCGUGAGGGAUGGAGGCCUGCGGGUUGUGAACCUCUUUCGCCAGUGAAGCAGGCCUGCCUCGUUUGUGGGUGGGUUGACGGUAGCUGGAUAAGAAGCGCCGGCUAACUACGUG